AAUUGGAGGGCAAGUCUGGUGCCAGCAGCCGCGGUAAUUCCAGCUCCAAUAGCGUAUAUUAAAGUUGUUGCAGUUAAAAAGCUCGUAGUUGAAUUUCGGGGUUAGUAGGUUGGUCAUGCCUCCGGUAUGUACUGAUCUCACUGAUUCCUCCUUCCUUAUGAACCGUAAUGCCAUUAAUUUGGUGUUGCGGGGAAUUUGGACUGUUACUUUGAAAAAAUUAGAGUGUUUAAAGCAAGCUAACGCUUGAAUACAUUAGCAUGGAAUAAUGAAAUAGGACGUUCGAUCUUAUUUUGUUGGUUUCUAGGAUUGACGUAAUGAUUAAUAGGGAUAGUUGGGGGCAUUAGUAUUCAAUUGUCAGAGGUGAAAUUCUUGGAUUUAUUGAAGACUAACUACUGCGAAAGCAUUUGCCAAGGAUGUUUUCAUUAAUCAAGAACGAAAGUUAGGGGAUCGAAGACGAUCAGAUACCGUCGUAGUCUUAACCAUAAACUAUGCCGACUAGGGAUCGGAUGAUGUUAAUUUUUUAAUGACUCAUUCGGCGCCUUACGGGAAACCAAAGUGU
rnacentral:rRNA from 1 species